rnacentral:rRNA from 1 species
CCUACGGGUGGCAGCAGUGAGGAAUAUUGGUCAAUGGCCGAGAGCCUGAACCAGCCAAGUCGCGUGAGGGAUGACUGCCCUACGGGUUGUAAACUUCUUUUAUCGAGGAAUAAAGCGAACCACGUGUGGCUCUUUGUGUGUACUUUAUGAAAAAGGAUCGGCUAACUCCGUGCCAGCAGCCGCGGUAAUACGGAGGAUCCGAGCGUUAUCCGGAUUUAUUGGGUUUAAAGGGUGCGUAGAUGGGUGGUGAAGUCAGUUGUGAAAGUUUGCGGCUCAACCCCAAAAUUGCAAGUGAUACUGGAUGCCUUGAGUACAGGAGAGGUAUGCGGAAUGCGUGGUGUAGCGGUGAAAUGCAUAGAUAUCACGAAGAACUCCGAUUGCGAAGGCAGCAUACCAGAGUGCCACUGACACUGAUGCACGAAAGUGUGGGUAUCGAACAGGAUUAGAUACCCGGGUAGUC